rnacentral:SRP_RNA from 1 species
GCCGGGCAUGGUGGCACAUGCCUGUAAUCCCAGCUUCUUGGGAGGCUGAGGCGGGAGAAUCGCUGGGACCCGGGAGGCAGAGACUGCAGUGAGCCGAGAUCGUACCACUGUACUCCAGUCUUGGCAACAGGGCAAGACUCCAUCUCAAAAAAAUAAAAUAAAAUAAAAUAAAAAGGUACGUAUAAUCUGGACAGAGAUGUUUUGGUGAAAUUAAGGACACAGGCUUGGAUGAACUGGCCCAGGUCAGAAAUAGAGGCAGUCAAAACUCCUGUGCUGAUCAGUAGUGGGAUGGUACCUGUGAAUAGCCACUGUAUUGCAGCCUGGGCAACAGAGUGAGACUCUGUCUCAA